AUCAAAAGAGGUUCAAAUAAAAUCCACCGCAAGAGAGACUCUCAUCAAAGUCUCACAAAAAACAUCCAAAAUAUUUAAAAUUUACAUUGAACCAUCUAGUACCAUAUCCUAAAAGUUAUGGUAUCUUAAUCACACACAAAAUUCUCCUAUAUCUUAUUUGGUAAACAAAUUGGAAUAUUUAUCCUAUUGGUUUAUCAUGUCAUAUUCUAAAGAUAGUGUAAAUUUUGCACCUCACCACCACCGUCAGAGACAGAAAUAGAAGAAGAUCAACAGAAGCUAUCACCUCCCUAUACUUUUAUAAACUUUUUAUUACUAGUAUGCUAUUAUAAUUGCUAUUAUAAUUGUUGUCUCUAUAUUUCUUUUUUGUGAAUUUUAUAUGAUAUUUAUAAUUUGUAAUAAGCCUUUUUUGACUCAAUAUAUUUGUUCUUAAAUAUCUUUUAACUAAAUAAAAUAUAAAACAAACAUUUAUUAAAAGAUAAAAUUGCUGAAAAAUUUACAUUAACUAUAAUAAUUAAUGAUUUAAACUCUAUGAAACAACAACAACCACACUUUAAAAAUAAAUGUUAAUUAUUUUUAUAUUUGUUUUUGACAAUAUUAAUUUUAGACAUAUCUUAUAAUUUGUUAAACUUUUUGUAUAUUUUAUAAAUCUAAAGUUAUUUUUCUUUAUUAAAUUAUACUUUUAAAUUUGAUCUCUUAUACUUAAUUUAUGGCCUCGUCCCUAACCACCACCACGUAUUCCACACGGCAUAGCAUAGCCAAUGAAUUCCUUCCACCAUCAACUUUCUCUUUACCAUUGCUGCAUCUACAAGACAUUUUUCACUACCACCACUAUUUAAACAAAAGGGUUAUUUGAAUUAUAUUUCAUUUGAAUGUAAUUUAUAUAUCAUUAUGAAAAAAACUUAAAUGCAUUUCUUAGAAAUUGACUCAUUUAAAGUGUAAAUUAAAUAAAGUAAAUAAAUUAAUAGUUGAUAUUAUCCACUUUAAUUUUUGCAGUGAAUUGUCCACUUUAAUGAAGAGUUGUUCACUUUAAAAAAGACUAAUCCAUUAUCAUAAUUUUUGUUCAUACUGUUCUUAGCAUAACCACCUGUGAUUUUUUUCAAAUCCAUACUUUUCUCGAAGUUUAUUAUAU
rnacentral:lncRNA from 1 species